CUCAGUCCAAGGGUAAAUCCAGGUCCACAGGUGAGAUGGCCAGGAUGCCUGCCUGCAGGGGACAGAGCCCAUGAACUGAGGCCUUGCACGAAGGACAGGGGGGAGACUGAGGCCAGAGAGAUAGGAUCAGAUACACAGAGAGGGAUGGAAACAGAGGAAGGCACAGAGUAGUUCAGGGGCUGGCUGUUCUGUGCUGGUUUCAGUCUCUGUUCUAAGGACUGUCCUUUAACUCCAUGACAGCCCUGCCCAGUCUCUGGUCUCCCCUAAGUUCUCCUGACAUCUCUGUUAAAAGAAGCGGGUAUGCCAGGUUCUUGGAUGAGUUCCACAUGUCCAUCCUUCCUCUCCUCAUUAUGCUCCAGUGUAGUCUGGAUUCCUCCAUCAUUCCCAGCUCCCUAUCCCAGGGAGUGCAGAGGAACCCUACAGAUGCUCACAGUAACAUCUUUGACCUGGUAUUGAGAGCCACUGGUAGCAAAGACCAUGGGAGUAUACAGCAGGUGACAACUAGUGUUCAGAAGGUCGACCUGUCAGAACUAAGGGUUCUGUAGGAGGAAACCAUCACGUAAGGUGUUAUGGAAUUCCUGCCUUUUGAAUGAAUUGAUCGUUUCUUGUAAACUUCUCGUGCAAUAACAGCUAUGAUUCUCCCCAUUUCCAUGCAUUUCAUUGUUAUAUGUACAUGUAAUCUCAUGAUUACAUCUCAGUCUUAUGGGCACACAUAACUGUGGAUAGUCUAGAAGAUGGUUUCUUAUUUAACUGCACUUUUUUUUUUGAGACAGGAUUUCUCUGUAGCUUUGGAGCCUUUCCUGGAACUCACUUGGUAGCCCAGGCUGGCUUAGAACUCACAAAGAUCCGCCUGCCUCUGCCUCCCAAGUGCUGGGAUUAAAGGCAUGCGCCAUCACUGCCCCAAUUUUUAUGAAUAGAAACAUACUAAAAUAUGCUUCAUAACUAGGUCUAUUGUUCCAUGGACUGUAGACACUUGGAGGUCUUGCUCUCCAUCCUUAGCCACUAACCAGGCAAAAUUAGCCAAACAAAGUGUCCUCGUGGAACUUUCACAGAGCAGAAUUGCAGGUGCCUGAGGGCCUUGUUGGAUCAAAACCCUUGGAAGAAUUAUAGCGAACUAGAAGUGAUAGAGCAGGUGUCUGGCCUGGGUAGAUCUCAGUCCUUCAAGAGACCAACAGCACCUAUGUUGCCCUGAGCUUCCUCCACCAGCACCUCCCCACUCUAAUUCAAAAAAACAAUUAACACUUUGUAUUUAUUUCACAUAAAAUAGUACACAUAUUCUUUGCCUUUUCCUUAAAUCUCUCAUUGGUUUAUUUUCUUCCCUUGUAACCCUUGCAGCUAUCCUUUUAAGAGAUAGCCAGAACUUUUUACAACCUAUAGCUGUUGUAAAUCACCAAUUAAGCUGACCAAGUCUUUGCCAAGUGUGACUUUUUUUGUUUGUUUGUUUGUUUUUGGUUUUGUUUUUUUGAGACAGGGUUUCUCUGUGUAACAGUCCCAGCCGUCCUGGAACUCACUCUGUAGACCAGGCUGGCCUCGAACUCAGAGAUCUGCCUGCCUCUGCCUCCCGAGUGCUGAGACUAAAGGUGUGCGCCACCACCGCCAGGCCCAAGUGUGACUCUUGUCAGCAUACUUGUCCCUGAGAGUUUAAUUUGUAGUUUUACUAACAAGUUGUUAAUGAAUGGAGAUAUAUAUAUAUAUAUAUAUAUAUAUAUAUAUAUAUAUAUAUACACACACACACACACACACACACACACACACACAUAUAUAUAUACUUGGGGGAAAACAAAAGGGCUAAGAUAGAACAAUGAGAGAAGAGCGGAAGAAGGGACAGAGGAGCUAAGUGUGAGAACAGAAAAGAAGCUGUGUAGACAGAAUUGACUGAGAAGAAUGAAGUGAAUGGACUAAAGAGCCUGGUGUGCUUAGAUUCAUUCAAUAUCCCUCAGAUUAAUUUCUUCACCACUUAGUAGUGUCUAUCCCGGAUCUUGGGAGAAAUCUCCACUGGCAGGGAACGGUGGGGAAUUCGAUAACCUGGUGCCGACAUUCAGUCUUGAGAGAGAACCUCCAGCCUCAUCAAGCAAUGAAAUCCAGAGUCCUUCCUGUUGGGACUGGCCCCCAUCUCCAGGUCUCUCCGGGUUUAUCCAGAUGGGGCUAUGCGCAGACAAUCUGUAUCUCAGAGCCCCCAUCUCAGGAUGAUCAGGGGCCCUCCCAUGGCUAGCUGUGUCUCUAGACCACACUUUUUUUUUAAUCCCAUUCUUAAGUGCUAGACUCUACCAUUGAGCUCUGUUCAUAUUUUGAGACAAGAUCUCACUAAGUUCCUAGGCUGACCUUGAACCUACUCUCUGUCACCCAGAUGUCGUUAAACCUGGAUGCUCUUGCCUCAGUCUCUCUGGUACCUGGAAUGACAGGCCUGCACCACCAGGGCCCCUCUGCUGCUUACCUGGGCUGGGCGGAGAUCUCAGUUGCUCUUGGACCAACUGUUCCAGACGCUGGGCAACCAGGGCAUAGAAGUCUGAAGUCGCUGGACCUGGUGGCAAGAAUAACUCUUUGUGUCUACAGAACAGGACACUUAUGGAUUCUCUCCUCCAAACCAUCUUAUCAACAAUUUCCAUUUCACAAAGGUGUAAACUGAGGCCAUGAGAGAAUUUGGUAAAAGAUGUCAAAGUCCUCAGCCUUUCUACUUGGUUACACCUUCAAAUUAAACUGAAAUAUCUGAGCUAAACUUUGGAGAUUAUUCCAUCCAAUAAGGGCACACAGCAUUUCUGCCGUUACCACCUUACCCCUUGUCCAGUUCACAGAUCAGCAACAGAACUCUGCAGCUGCACUUUUCUUCUUAGGUACUGUCUGGAUUUUUGGAACCAAAGCUCCUAACCAUCAAAGUUUCACAGGUAACCAGUGUAAAUAUC